CUAAUCCACAAUCGAUCACAUCUCUCAUAUUUAUUUCCCUUCUGCCAUUGCCGUUCCAUACCCAAGUGGAUAAUAAGUACCCAUUCAACCCUCCCGGAGCAUCGGAUUGUGGUGCGGAAGUUUGUGUAGUGUUUCGGUAGCGUAGCGCGGCGGAAGUUAGCGACGGUGGCGAGGCUGAAGUUGAGCGAUGCGGCCAUUGAUGGAGAAGUUAGUUUCAGUCUGGUUUUGAAAGGUGGUUAUUCAGUUCCGGAGGACGUUAUCCGAAAUUCCCAAAUUCCAAAUGAAUUUUCACCCCCUCUGUGCGUACCUUUCUCCAUUGACGAUUGACGACAUCUUUUUGGACUCCUGUUGGUAGGCAUCGGCUACACCAAAAUCCUUAGCUUGUUAGUAGACGCCAUUAACGACUCCAAAAGCUCUAUUGGAAGGCACCAUUGACGACUCCAAAAGCUUGGUUGGUAGACUUACUGACGACUCCAAAAGCUCUGUCGGUGGACACCAUUGACGACGGAAGAAGAGAGUGAUAAAAGAGGUGCUCAGGAAUUGCAAACAUUGGCAUAGGAAGGUCGAUGUGGCUUUUUAUCUGGAAAUAUUUAUUAUGCAAGGAUGAUGAUGAUGAAUCUGAUCUAAGUAAAAGAUAUGAGUUAGCAUUGAAGAAUCUCAAGCUUGAAGUGAUGGAAGAUCUGAAAUUGGUUAAUGGUUAUUGAAUCUGAAAUUUCGAAGGCAAAAAAUUAAAUUUGAGUCACUGAUGAUUAGUUUAGCAAUUGUAGUAGUAAGACUUUUUGUGUAUGUAAGUUUAAUUUGCAGCAAAAUGUGAUAAAAAUGGGUCUUUGAUGCCUUUAUAGCACUUUCUCUAAAAUGAAAUGAUGAUUACUUUGUUAAAAA